ensembl:lncRNA
AUCCUCAACAUCCUCACACACACACAUCCUCACACACACACUCAUCCUCACACACACUAACAUCCUCACACACACUAACAUCCUCACACACACACACACACCACACACCACACACCAGCAAAAGCUUGAAACCCUUUCUGUAACACAAAUCCAGCUGUGAACCACUUCACAACCAUGACCCUGCUAGCGCAACACAACCAUCCAGUCCCUCAUGUUUAGUACAUUCCCUGGGUUCUAGAGCUGCCUGGGGAACAGUAGCUUACCGCAUGCAGGGUUGUGUUCCAACCCUACUAUAAAACACCUGAUUCUACUAAUGAUCUGCCCCUCAGGACCCUGGUUGGCUGUAUCAGGUGUGUGAAUCUAGUGCAGGGCUGGAGCAAAAGCCUACAAUACCCAGUAGAUCUCCAGGAGAGUUGGUUCUCUAUUCUAGUGGGUGUCAAAGCUUGAGAGAGAGAACAUACAGGACGCCCUUUAACGAAGAGGGAGGACAUACACAGGAGGCCCUGUAAACCAACCUAGAGGGAGGGAUAGCGUACACAGGAGGUCCUGUUAACCAAGAGGAAGGGAUAUACACAGGAGGUCCUGUUAACCAAGAGGAAGGGAUAUACACAGGAGGUCCUGUUAACCAACCUAGUAGAGAGAGAGAGAGAGCGAGAGAGAGAGA